rnacentral:rRNA from 1 species
GCGGAGGAAAAGAAACCAACAGGGAUUGCCCUAGUAACGGCGAGUGAAGCGGCAACAGCUCAAAUUUGAAAUCUGGCUCUCGGGCCCGAGUUGUAAUUUGUAGAGGAUACUUUUGAUGCGGUGCCUUCCGAGUUCCCUGGAACGGGACGCCAUAGAGGGUGAGAGCCCCGUCUGGUUGGAUGCCAAAUCUCUGUAAAGUUCCUUCGACGAGUCGAGUAGUUUGGGAAUGCUGCUCUAAAUGGGAGGUAUAUGUCUUCUAAAGCUAAAUAUUGGCCAGAGACCGAUAGCGCACAAGUAGAGUGAUCGAAAGAUGAAAAGCACUUUGAAAAGAGAGUUAAAAAGUACGUGAAAUUGUUGAAAGGGAAGCGUUUAUGACCAGACUUGGACUUGGUUAAUCAUCUGGGGUUCUCCCCAGUGCACUUUUCCAGUUCAGGCCAGCAUCAGUUUUCGCCGGGGGAUAAAGGCAGCGGGAAUGUGGCUCUCUUCGGGGAGUGUUAUAGCCCGUUGUGUAAUACCCUGGUGGGGACUGAGGUUCGCGCUUCUGCAAGGAUGCUGGCGUAAUGGUCAUCAA